GAUGAAGAACGCAGCGAAAUGCGAUAAGUAAUGUGAAUUGCAGAAUUCAGUGAAUCAUCGAAUCUUUGAACGCACCUUGCACCCUUUGGCAUUCCGAAGGGUAUGCUCGUUUGAGUGUCAUUGUACUCUCACACUCUCCGAUCCUAUGGAUUCGGGGAGCGGUGGACUUGGGAGUUGCUGCCUUUCCUUGUGGCUCACCUCAAAUGUGUCAGUGCACCUCUUGGUUGGACAUAGUACGGCGUGAUAAGUGUCUUCGCCGGCACCUCGCAAGAGGGUGGCCGAUCGGGAGCUCUGUGCUUUCAAACCGUCUUCGGACAAUUUCUGACAACUUGACCUCAAAUCGAGUAGGACUACCCGCUGAACUUAAGCAUAUCAAUAAGCGGAGGA
rnacentral:misc_RNA from 1 species